UCACAUCGAGGUUCCCCUCACAUCUCGUGAACCGACACCGACUCCAGCGCCAGAGCAGAACGCGGGGAAACACUCGACGUUUAACGGCGUGCGGCGAAUGAACGCGAGCGGACGGACGGUGACCGUGUUCGAGGUGUUGCGGGUUUUUCCUCGUCGCGUUCGGGUGGAGUCGAGCCGUAUUCUGAAGUCUGAGCUGUGACACACUUCAGGACUCAAUCAUGAAGGACGGAAUGGCUAAUAACAGCACCGCCAGCAUCUCUCAGGCCCGGAAAGCCGUGGAGCAGCUGAAGAUGGAGGCCUGCAUGGACAGGAUAAAGGUCUGUGUGCGUUUCUCUGUGUUUUAAACGUCUCAAUCUCGU